rnacentral:rRNA from 1 species
UCGGGAAUUUUGGGCAAUGGGCGAAAGCCUGACCCAGCAACGCCGCGCGAAGGAUGAAGUAUUUCGGUAUGUAAACUUCGUAAGAAUAGGAAGAAUAAAUGACGGUACUAUUUGUAAGGUCCGGCUAACUACGUGCCAGCAGCCGCGGUAAUACGUAGGGACCAAGCGUUGUUCGGAUUUACUGGGCGUAAAGGGCGCGUAGGCGGUGUGUCAAGUCAGUUGUGAAAUCUCCGAGCUUAACUCGGAACGGUCAACUGAUACUGUCACACUAGAGUACAGAAGGGGCAAUCGGAAUUCUUGGUGUAGCGGUGAAAUGCGUAGAUAUCAAGAGGAACACCUGAGGCGAAGGCGGGUUGCUGGGCUGAUACUGACGCUGAGGCGCGAAAGCUAGGGUAGCAAACGGGAUUAGAUACCCGCGUAGUCCCUGAGCGGGCUGGCAAGGCGCAU